rnacentral:rRNA from 1 species
AGGACGAACGCUGGCGGCGUGCUUAACACAUGCAAGUCGAGCGGAAAGGCCCUUCGGGGUACUCGAGCGGCGAACGGGUGAGUAACACGUGAGGAACCUGCCCUGGACUUUGGGAUAACCCUCGGAAACGGGGGCUAAUACCGAAUACGACUGCUGAUCGCAUGGUUGGUGGUGGAAAGUUUUUCGGUCUGGGAUGGUCUCGCGGCCUAUCAGCUUGUUGGUGGGGUAAUGGCCUACCAAGGCGACGACGGGUAG